rnacentral:lncRNA from 1 species
AUUCAAAAUAGUCUCAUCAAGACUGCUGGUGGUAUAGCCAUAGUAAUCUAAUGAAGAAAAGGGAUUCCAGAAGAAAACCCAUUGAGAUGGUUGAGCUGAAAUUGGAGAACAAUUAGGUCUAUCAAUGGGGGAGCUAUGGAAAAUUGAAGAGCUCACAGAAGAUGAAUGCAUUUCCAAAAAGCUGUCCAUUUCGAAAUUAUGCACAGGGGCAUAAGCUUCAAUUCUGAUAGCUUCUGGUGAUUGAGGUGGUCUCAUCUCAACCGUAAUAGAAGGAUUUCCACCAGACUUGAGGUUGUUUAUUUUACAACGUGAGUUUGGUUCAGAUUUAAAUGGUGUCACUGAGAAGGACCUCGGUGAUAUGCAAAUGAAAGCAGCACUUGUUUCCUUUAUGGGGGUGAAGUCUGGUGUAAAAGAAUCUGAGAUACUCACAUGCUCAUGCCCACUGAUAUAUUCUCUAAGUGAAGCAGAAACUCUUUUAAUGGAUCGUAUAUAAGCAAUGCAUCCAGAGGCAAAUUUCAUUCUUUGCUCAACUGCUUGUUACUGUAGAACCGCUUCAUCAUCCAACUUCGAUGGAGAACAUCCCAUUUCUUUGUUCAGCUUUCUUUACCUUUCAAUCUUCGAUCGCUAAGAAAUUUCAGGCUUCAAACAAAUUGAGAAUUUCGAUGGAAAAUUCUUGCUGUUCCCACCAGAUUCAUAUGUAUCCUCCACCGUUCUGCUCAAGCCUUAGCAAGAAACAAAAACUCAAACAUUCAACAACUACAACAAAUUGCAAAAGAUAAGAAGAUAUGCAUAGAUAAGUCCUAUAAUAGUUCCAAGGCUGCACUAGAAAGCCGAACAUUCCGA